rnacentral:rRNA from 1 species
AAUAGAUACCCUGGUAGUCCACGCCGUAAACGAUGAGUGCUAAGUGUUAGAGGGUUUCCGCCCUUUAGUGCUGCAGCUAACGCAUUAAGCACUCCGCCUGGGGAGUACGGCCGCAAGGCUGAAACUCAAAGGAAUUGACGGGGGCCCGCACAAGCGGUGGAGCAUGUGGUUUAAUUCGAAGCAACGCGAAGAACCUUACCAGGUCUUGACAUCCUCUGCCAACCCUAGAGAUAGGGCGCUCCCCUUCGGGGGACAGAGUGACAGGUGGUGCAUGGUUGUCGUCAGCUCGUGUCGUGAGAUGUUGGGUUAAGUCCCGCAACGAGCGCAACCCUUGAUCUUAGUUGCCAGCAUUCAGUUGGGCACUCUAAGGUGACUGCCGGUGACAAACCGGAGGAAGGUGGGGAUGACGUCAAAUCAUCAUGCCCCUUAUGACCUGGGCUACACACGUGCUACAAUGGAUGGUACAAAGAGCUGCGAACCCGCGAGGGUAAGCGAAUCUCAUAAAGCCAUUCUCAGUUCGGAUUGU